rnacentral:lncRNA from 1 species
AGAAAUAAGACAUCCUGGGUGAGUUCUUCCAUGGUGAUUUUGGACCAUCUAACUGUCUCCGUGUUUCCUUGUUCGUCUCCUCUUCUCUUCCGCUGCGCCGCGCGUUCACUGCUAGUUGCUUCUCCAUCUCGUCGCUCUUCGCCCUGCUUAUCCUCCUUUCCGCCUUCUUUCUUCUUCCCACUCUGUUCAUUCUCCAACCACUGAUCCGUCCUCUCCUUGUCCCUAUUUGGCGCCGCGGCUGAGUUCGUUUCCUGUUUCUUUCCUUCGUCCGUCCCCUCUUUUCCUUCCUCCUGUCUUCGCCUGUCCCCGGUCUGCCAUUGGUCCGUACCUCUGCCGACAGAAGCAAUGAAGGUGUGACCCUCACGCUCCUCUCGUAGGGCAGCAGCAAGUUGUUCCUUCAGCCAGGCCUCUCGCUGCUCUUCGUCAUCUGUUUCACUCAAGCGCCGACCUUGCCUUUCCGCUGAGCUCGAGGAAGAGGCAAAAGCAAGACCAAGACGCGGCUGGUGAUGUUCGAACGUGAAGGUUUUUCGGAUGGGCUGCAGGAUUCCGCCGCUUGACUGUGGACGCUCAUUUGGCAUGUUGUUCACCACCACGUAGAGAGUCAGUUUAGACACCCUGUCUCCUUCCAUUUCUCCUAAGAGAUAUGCGCGUUCUCCACAGGCUCUGCCGUCUUCUCGCUGGCCAAGCGCACCCCCGAAAGCAGCCGGGAGCGCAUGCGGGGACGAACUGGAAGAAGCCGCGGAAGAGUCGUGAGUCUCGCCCCGUCUCGACUGCAGGUGGCGGCGCGCGGCAGUCUCGCCUCCAGAGGAGGGUAGAGAAAAGAGUGUCUCCGACGAGAUUACUAGAGGCCGCGUGAAGAAGGUCCCUUCUGUCCCUUCAUGUUCGAUUUCGCGUUUUCUCUUGCUUUCGCCACUUCGGCCUGACAGCCAUGCAGAGGAAGGCCGUGAACGGGACGUAUCCACCGAACCAAAAGGAAUACCGUCCUCUUCAGCCAUCUCAUCCUUCGUCUCUUCCUUGACCG